GGCGCUUUCGUCUAGUGGUUAGGACAUGACGUUCUCAACGUCAGAACACGGGUUCGAUUCCCGUAAGCGCUA
rnacentral:tRNA from 1 species